rnacentral:tRNA from 1 species
GGUGUCGUAGAUGAGUGUUACUUCGCGUCACUUUUAAUGAUGAGAUGUGGGUUCGAUUCCCACCGGGGCCUCCU